rnacentral:rRNA from 1 species
UGCGUAGGUGGCCUUUUAAGUUGGAUGUGAAAUACCCGGGCUUAACUUGGGGGUGCAUCUAAUACUGGAGGGCUAGAGUGCAGGAGAGGAAAGCGGAAUUCCUAGUGUAGCGGUGAAAUGCGUAGAUAUUAGGAGGAACACCAGUGGCGAAGGCGGCUUUCUGGACUGUAACUGACACUGAGGCACGAAAGCGUGGGGAGCAAACA